UACGAAGGAGGCAAGCGUUGUUCGGAAUCACUGGGCUUAAAGCGCAUGUAGGCGGGAAGCAGGGUACCUUGUGAAAUCCCUCGGCUCAACUGAGGAAUAGCUUGGUAAACCGGUUUUCUUGAGGCAGGUAGAGGCGGGCGGAACCAUGGGUGGAGCGGUGAAAUGCGUAGAGAUCCAUGGGAACACCGGGGGCGAAAGCGGCCCGCUGGGCCUGAUCUGACGCUGAGAUGCGAAAGCGUGGGUAGCAAACAGG
rnacentral:rRNA from 1 species